rnacentral:tRNA from 1 species
GAGCCCGUGGUCUAGUGGUUAUGACGCUUCGUUCACAGCGAAGAAAUCCCCAGUUCAAAUCUGGGCGGGCUCA